AUGAGAGACAAUUCAACUCAAAGAUGUCGCAUGGGAGCUAUUUGCCCGGUUGGAGCACGGGACACGGCGGAAAGUGCGGGAGGCGGAGGCGUGGAGAACCGGGAGCGGCUGGUCGAAGCAGACCGUGAAAGAACACUGCGUCCAUACAAGGUCGCUGCCGGUGUCCAGUGUGAGCACGACACGCUGCGGGCGCGGUGUGCGGACGCUCAAGUGGACGAGAUACUCAGAAAGACCGAGGUCCAACCCGCCGCGGUCACCGCCGAGUCGCUGGCGGGCAGGCGUAGCCGCGUAGGCUGGCCACACGAGCCUUUGACCGUGCCGCCAUCCGGCGGAGAAGCUCGUGCUUGGUGA
rnacentral:rRNA from 1 species